rnacentral:rRNA from 1 species
AAUACGUUCCCGGACCUUGUACACACCGCCCGUCAAGCCAUGGAAGCCUGGGGGACCUGAAGUCGGCAACCGUCAAAGGAGCUGCCUAAGGUAAAACAGGUAACUGGGGCU